rnacentral:rRNA from 1 species
GGACGAACGCUGGCGGCGUGCUUAACACAUGCAAGUCACGGGGGCUCGCAAGAGCAACCGGCGAACGGGUGCGUAACACGUGAACAACCUGCCCUCGUGUGGGGGAUAGCCGGGCUAACGCCCGGGUAAUACCGCAUACGUUCUCUUGGAGGAGUCUCUGGGAGAGGAAAGCUCCGGCGCACGGGGAGGGGUUCGCGGCCUAUCAGCUUGUUGGCGGGGUAAUGGCCCACCAAGGCGACGACGGGUAGCUGGUCUGAGAGGAUGGCCAGCCACAUUGGGACUGAGAGACGGCCCAGACUCCUACGGGAGGCAGCAGUGGGAAUCUUGCGCAAUGGCCGAAAGGCUGACGCAGCGACGCCGCGUGUGGGAGGACGCCUUUC